rnacentral:rRNA from 1 species
AUUGAACGCUGGCGGCAGGCCUAACACAUGCAAGUCGAACGAGUGGCGGACGGGUGAGUAAUGUAUGGGGAACUGCCCGAUAGAGGGGGAUAACUACUGGAAACAGUAGCUAAUACCGCAUACCAUCGGAUGAGCCCAUAUGGGAUUAGCUAGUAGGUGGGGUAACGGCUCACCUAGGCGACGAUCCCUAGCUGGUCUGAGAGGAUGACCAGCCACACUGGAACGGAGACACGGUCCAUACUCCUACGGGAGGCAGCAGUGGGGAAUAUUGCCCAAUGGGCGCAAGCCUGAUGCAGCCAUGCCGCGUGUAUGAAUAAGGCCUUAGGGUUGUAAAGUACUUUCAGCGAGGAGGCGUUACUCGCAGAAGAAGCACCGGCUAACUCCGUGCCAGCAGCCGCGGUAAUAC